UCGGGAAUUUUGUGCAAUGGGCGAAAGCCUGACACAGCAACGCCGCGUGAAGGAUGAAGUCCCUCGGGAUGUAAACUUCGUAAGAAUAGGAAGAAUAAAUGACGGUACUAUUUGUAAGGUCCGGCUAACUACGUGCCAGCAGCCGCGGUAAUACGUAGGGACCAAGCGUUGUUCGGAUUUACUGGGCGUAAAGGGUGCGUAGGCGGCAUAUCAAGUCACUUGUGAAAUCUCCGGGCUUAACUCGGAACGGCCAAGUGAAACUGUUAAGCUAGAGUGCAGAAGGGGCAAUCGGAAUUCUUGGUGUAGCGGUGAAAUGCGUAGAUAUCAAGAGGAACACCUGAGGUGAAGACGGGUUGCUGGGCUGACACUGACGCUGAGGCGCGAAAGCC
rnacentral:rRNA from 1 species